rnacentral:lncRNA from 1 species
UCCCUAGUGAGAUGAACCCGGUACCUCAGAUGGAAAUGCAGAAAUCACCCGUCUUCUGCGUCGCUCACGCUGGGAGCUGUAGACCGGAGCUGUUCCUAUUCGGCCAUCUUGGCUCCUCCCCAUAUAAUUUAUCUUUAAAAUCUUUCCCAGUUGCUACAAUUGGCUUAAUCAGAAAGCUAAGACACUGGUAUUAAGAAGACUCUAAAGUGGAAUAAUUUUCUAUUUUUUAAAAUGUAAAUACAUAGUUUAUAAAAGUAACCCAACAAAAAGCAAGAAUCUUAAUAUUUGCUAUUUGGUCAUUUAGGUAACACUAGAUUUAAACAUUUCAGCUACCUUUCAUCAUAGGCAUAAAUCUAAUAAAAGAGAUUGGCACCCUAAAUUAAACUAUUACUGCAUAUACUUUUCAAAAGGCUUGUGAGGAAUACAAAACAUAACAUAUUGCUUAUAAUUUUAAAGAGAAUGUUAAAAAAGAAAGCUUAGCUCUUUCCAUUUUUUUUCUAGAAAUCAGUUUCUACUAGUCUUAAAACUAUUUCAAAGUAAUUUUUUGCAUAUUAGAUAUAGCUAUUAAACUACAACACUAAUGAUUUAUAUGUAUGUAUUUGCUAAAAUAUUGGACUAUUGUUAGGCAAGGAUUACUAUAAAAAUAAGAAUUAUCACUUACAUAUCAUAAAGAUUAAAGCUAAAGGUUCAAUUUUUAUAUAUCCAGUAUUUCAGAAAUAAAGCACUUUUCAUGUUGAAAUUAUAAAUAUAGAAGAAAAAUAUUCAUUAAUUUUCAGUAAAUAAAUGGUAAAUUGGUUAAAGCAUACAGACUUUAAACUUCCAUUAACCUGAGCAGUUUCAUCCUUUGAAUGAGACGUUUGACCCAAUCCACUCAAGUUGGUUUCCUUUCUUUGGUCUUCUAAUUAAGUCAUCCAAUUACCAGAUGUAAAUGUGCUUUUAUGUUCCUGAUUUUUAGUCUUAAUUGUGUUAACAAGAGUUUUCUCAUUUAUCUUUAUAGAUUCCAUUGGUAAGUAUAUGCCACUACUUUGAUAACAAUAAUAAUUUGAUAAUACAGUUUUCCAAUUAUCUAUAAUGUUAAUCUAUGAAGCAUGUUGGAUAAGUUUGCAUUAUUAUAUUAGUAAACUUCUAUCUCAUAAUAGUCCAUCAAAAAUAAGCUGAUUAUUUGACUAAUUAGUGAGGUAUGGUUAAAUGACUCAUUCAAAGAAUGUUCACAUGUGGAAAAAACACAUAGUUCAUUCUUUAUAAUUAAUCCAGUCUCACAACUCCCAUCAACAGGCUAGCAGAGGGGAAAAGUAUAAAUUUAGUACAAAUCACCAAUAGUCAUUUUGAAAAGUGUUUGCUUGGCCAACCCAUUCCUUCUCCAUUCAUAUUGCCUUACAUAAGAUAGUGUGUACAUAUAUAAGAGACGAAUAUGGCUUAUAUGAUCUUGGUGUGACAAGGAGAACAAAGGGUCUUCAGAGGCAAAGUGUAUGUUCUUGAUUAUCUUGGUCUCUGGUGAUGAAUAAACAACAGCUAAGCAUUUAGAAAUGUGGCAAGUGAUUAUGAUUUUUCUCUUUUCACUUAUUCUCAGAGUAUAGAUCUCUUGGAAUGUCGAACUUCUGCUCACUGUUGCUCUGUGACUGUGGCACAUCCCCUCAGAUCUUGGAGUCCUUACCCAUACAGUCUUCUUUCUUCUCACUCGCAAUUUUUCCCCAGAAACAGGGACUCAGUAUUUACACAUCUCAUUGCAGUUUUCUAGCCAAAACUUUGCUUCUCCUCUACACUGAAAUUGAGCCAGGAGAGCAACAAACUCACUAUUUCGACACAGGCCAAUCAUGCUGCUAUACUUUAGCCCAAGGCUGAUGGACACUGGGUAUAGGUAUUAAACCAAAAAAACAAUUUAUUAUUGGGCACAUGAGUUUUUGCUAAGUUCUCACACCCUCUUCAUGGGGAUUCUAUGGGACUAUAUUCACCUAUUCGUGAUAUUCUCAGUCCCUUUCCCUUCAUAUCUGAUGGCUCCAAAAUGUCUCCUAUUCUAGAACAUUCUUCCACCUAAAUAGAGAAAAUAACAACAAAAACAGAAGCUUGGCUCCUGUUGUAUUUUAUUUCUCUUCUUUUUCUGCUUAAAAUCUACUGGGAAUAGAGGGGGAAUCUUUCUCCCUUUUUCUUUAUGCCUAGGAAGGAUCUCUCAUACAUAGCAAAUAUACAAAAGACCAUGUCUGUAGGCUUUCUUAGGCUAAAAAAGGUGGCAAAAAUAAUAAAAAAGGAAAGAUAAGUAUUCUAUUUUUUUCUCAACCAUAUGUGGAUAUUAAAUCUAUUUUAUGAAUACAGAAAUCAAGAAUGUGGGCUUCCAUCUGAGCAAUAGAGAAGAGAGUAAGGGCACAGCAGAAAAGCUACAAGAAAACAUAAUUUAAGUUGAAAAUAAAAAUGUCAACAUUUUUCGUUUGCACAACUGUAAUUUAAUUGUCUUUUCUCUCUUAGAAUGGUUGGCAGUUUAUUUACUCACUCAACACUUACCUUGUCGAGUGUCUGCCAUUGUCAAAGCAUUCCUCAGGGCUUUGUGAAAGAAACACAAUUGAAUAAGACCCAGUUCAUCUUCUCAAAAAGUUUGUCAUUCUAGGACAAACAUACAAUCUAAAAAAUGCAUACAUGUGCUGUCAAUAGGAAAACUAAAUACAAAAGUGUUUGCUUUUUUUUUUUGCUAUGUAUUCUGGGAUCAUAUUUCUUUAAAAAUGUUAUAUUUCUUUUAAAAUUCUUGUGAUGGAUUAGAUUUUAAAAUUUUUGUAAUUAGUUAUCACUUCCAUAAUUCCUUCAGUGAUGAAAGUAGAAUGUCAAUAAACUUGACUUUGCACAUAUAUUUUUAAAAAAAGAAAUUAAUUUCAGAACAGUUAUAUAUAUAUAUAUACACAUGCUAUAUAUAUAUACACACUAUAUAUAUACACACACUCAGAACAGUUAAUCAGAACAGUUAUUUGUCAUAUAUAUGUAUAUAUAUACAUGUAUAUAUAUACAGUAUACAGUGAUAAUCACACAGUGUUUAUCAGUGUAAUACACACACACACACACACACACAACUUUUUCUCCCCCAGCCUUUUUUUGGAUAAAACAAAUAUUUCAAAUGUAGUGUGAACUGCAAACACUCCCUUAGGAGUCAGUUAGUACUUAGCAGUAUUUGUCUUUUGUUUUUCUCUAAUGUUGCUUGACUAAGUUUUACUUAGUUACUUUCAUAUGUGGGCCUGUUGGCAAGAAGUCUUCAAAGUAUUUGAAGAGACAGUGUCUCUUUACACACCACAGUGAAAGUUUGGAUAAAUUACUGUAGGGAAGAGCAAAUGGAUUAACCUUGGUUGGAUCCUGUCUGAAAAUCAGUCUACAUUCAGUUUUUUCAGAUAGUUAAAGAAAUAGUCAGUAUAACAUUUUACAUCUUCUAAUAUUCUAAUUAAAAUAAAAAAGUAUAUAUAAAUGCUAUGUAUUUAAUUAUUGUUAAAAAAUUACAUGGAUUAUCUGCCCACUUGCCAACUUUUUCAGAGUGGUUCAGAAGAUUCAAGAAACUAUCUAUUUUGAUUACAAACUCAGUUAUCUUAUUCAAUAUACACUCUAGUAUUCUAAGAAAGCUAUCUUACACAUUUUAUUUGCUUCAAAAGCCUAAUAAAAUGGUUAAUUAAACCAUAUAAUAUAAGAGAGCUAUUUUGGUUAGAUACUUUCCUUAGAAAUAAAUCUGAUUGAACCUUCAAAUUGUAAAUUAUGGCAAGAAAGUUAAUUCAAAUAUUAGCAAAAAAAAAUAAAACCUGUGACUAUUUUUCCUACAAUUAAAGAAAUAAUGUACAAAACAAAGCCUAACAAUAAAAGAAUAAGAUUAUUUAAAUAUGAAAAUAGAACUUAUGAUUAAAAUGCUUUUAAAUUUAAAUGCAAAAUUAAUGGUUAGAGAUAACGUUCUUGUCAUUAAAAAAAAAAAAACAGAUCCUUGAUGUAUAUGUGCCAGUAUAUAUAUGUAACAAACCUGCACAUUGUGCACAUGUACCCUAAAACUUGAAGUAUAAUAAAAAAAGAACCUCAAAAAAAAAAACUGAUCCUAUAUCCAGAGUGAAUUUACAAUUUAAUCCAUCUUUUGAUAAGUAUCAAAUAUAUGUAAUAUAGAAAUGAAUUCUACUUAGUUACAUUUUAAUUUUAUAUAAUAUAUUCAUUUUAGUUACAAAACCUGUUUAAUUUCUUUGUAAAUUCUAUUUCACCUAACACUGAUAUAUAUAUAUAUAUGUACACACACUGCGUGUAUAUAUAUAUACGUAUAUAGUAUAUAGUAUAUAUAUAGUGUGUGUGUGUGUAUAUAUAUAUAUCUGCUUAAGAUUGUCUUUCAUUGAUUUUUUUCUAGGUGUUAACCUUAGUCUAGAGUCUAUGUUAUUGAGCUUCCUCUCACUGAUUAUCUUCUACUGUUUCUUUAAUAUACAAACACAUUCUUACCUAAGAACAAACAAUGAUAUAUGUAGAAGGCAAUACUGUCUAGAAAAUGGAAUGUGUUUAACUUCUUCAGCUGUUGAAUAUUGCAAUCACACAUGCUGAAGGUCGGCCAGAUUGCUUUGCCAUGGAAUACCUUGAGAAUGAAAUACAGGUUUGUUUGAAGCACGAAGGGAGGUGUUUCAGAGCCUGGGCACCUUUCCUUACUAUGGCUGAGAAUAGUAGGUUUCUGUCUCUCCCACACAGUUAGAAAAAAUUAUCUAUUUCAAACUGAAUUGAAAAAUCGGUUUAUCUAUUUCAAGCUGAAUUAGCAGCCUCUUGAAUAGGGGUGACUUGGCAUGUAUACACUUUACUAAAGGUAGCAUUCUUACUACUAUACUCAGAUACAUGGUUUGCAGAAAAAGGGGGACAAAAACUGUUUGGUUUAGCAUUAGUCAAGGGACAGUACGAAAAUCCUCUAAAGUAAAGGUAAAUACACAUCUUCUGGGUUUAUAAUCACUUAACAAUUUCUAUUUGCAAAAAUAAUCUACAUCUGUGUAAAUUAUGGUAAAUGGUGGAAGGAGAAAAAGUGAACCCCAGAGAAGUAGUGCUAACAACUUCCACCUUAUGGUAUCACAUACAUCACAUUCAAUAAAUAUUGAUUGAAUUAUAAUCAAUACACAAAUGGAAAUGAGGUAUAUAUAUAUAUAUUGUUAUAUAAGUCAAAAGGUAAAAUAUUUAAAUGUUCUAAAUUAGUUAAGGUAUGAGGAUAAAAACUAAAUCAUUUAUGAUAAAAUGAUCAUUAAGAUCAAUAUAUUUCAUGGCUUAAACGUGUUGUAAAUACGUAUGAAGUAACUUAAAGCACUUUUAUGUGUUUAUUCUGCCCAGGUUAUUAUAAAAAUGAAACAAAGAAAAUUAAAGAAAAGAUGAAGCAGAGUUUUGAGAAAACCUAGAUUCAAAACAUACACGAUGAUUUCUAAAAUUAGUUGAUAUUUGUCAAAAACCAUAAUAUUCAGAAUAUAUUCCAAAAAAAUUCAAUGUUUACCCAUAUAGUAAAUUAUACAAUUAGCGAAUAUUAACAGAUCUAUAUGUCUGUUAGCCCUUUAUAAAUUACUGUAUUAUUUCUGCCUAUGAAAUACUUGGUGUCUUGCAACUAAGGAAACUAAGCUAUAAAAACAUUAAUGAACUGGAUAAAAUUAUAUAGUUCAUGGCUAAGUGGAGAAAUUUGGAUUCAAAACAUAACAGCUUCAGUUCCAGAGCUGAUGUAAGUAACCGCUGAAUGUACUGUCUUUUCUAAAGCUGAUGUCUAAAAUCAUCCAUUAUUAUUUUAGUAGCAAAAGGUUAGAAAACGUACAAGUAUUACCCUCAGGCCACUGAUUAAAUAAAUUGUAACAUAACUGUUCAAUGGAGAAUUACAUAGCUGUUAAGUAGAAUGAGGUAGCUCAAUAUGUACUGAUGAAGGCUAACCUCCAAGAUAUAUAGGUAUAUAUAAAAGCAAGGUUCACAACAUUCUGGAUGGUAUUUUGGGAGACAAAUAUGCAUAUAAAUAUAUUUUUGUGUGCGAUGUCUCCAGAAUAGUUUAGAAGGGACUGAUUCCUGUGAUUACCUGUGAAGAGUAGAACUAAGUUUCUACAUAUAUAAGGCAAUGGGAAUAUAUUCCUCAUUGUAAUUUUUUUUCUGAUAUUUUAAAAUUUUUUACGUGCUCAAGUAUUACCAUUUUUAAACAGACAGAAUUUAUUUUUCAAAGCAGUUUUAUGUACAAAAAAAUAAGAUUCCACACUAGAAUAGAAAUAGAAAACUUCCUACAAAGACAAGCCCAAGUACAUAUGAUUUCCUGAUGAACUCUACCAAACAUUUUAAAAAAUUAGCCCUGGCUUUUUAUAGAUGCUUUAAGAUAUAUACAGAAGGAGGGAAUACUUCACAACUCUUUCUAUGAGGCCAGUAUUACUGUGAUACAAAAAUGACAUGAAGACUUCACAAGAAAAAAACGUAAAUCAAAAUUCAUCAUGAAUAUACAUGUGAAAAAUCCUCCAUGACUUAGAAAACUGAAUCUACCAACAUAAAAAAGAGGAUUAUAGACCAUAACCAAAUAUAAUUUAUUUCUUAGGUGUAAGGCAAGUUUAACAUUUGAAAACCAAUGUAAUCCAUGAUAUCAAUAAACUAAAAAAGAAACCACUUAUGAACAUAAAAAUUAUCAAAGAUAUCUCAGAAAGCCAGAUCCAGUAACAUAAAAAUGACUGUCCUCCAUGAAAUGGUAUUGAUACCAGGAUUGCAGAGUUGGUUUAACAUAUAAAAAUUAAUUAAUAUAAUACAUCAUAUUAAUGAAAAAGGACAAAAAACCCAAUGAUCAUCUUAAUACAUACAGAAAAAGCUGUUGAUAAAAACCAAAUCCUUUUUAUGGUAAAAAUAGUGAACUAGAAACAGGAGGGAAGUAAAUUGCUCAACUUCAUGAAGAGCAUUUAUUAUAAAUCCUCAGCUAAGAUCAUAUUUAUAUUGAGAGAAAAAGCUUUCUCUAAACAUUAGCAUAUGGAUGUUUGCUCUUGCUACUUUAAUUCAACAUUGUACUGAAUGUUUUAGACAAGAUAAAUUAGGCAAGAAAACAAAAAUAGAUGUAUGUUAAAAUGAUUUUGUAGAUGACAUAAUCAUAUACCUAGAAUCUAUUAAGAAAUAAACAUAUAUACACACUAUUAGAGCUAACAAAUGAGUUCAGUGAAGUCACAAGACAUGAAAUCAACAUAUAAAUAUUAAUGGUAAUUCUGUGCAGUAACAAUGGAAAAUCCAAAAUUGAAAUUAUAAAAAUAAUUCAAUUCAUAUUAGCAUAAAAUAUAAUAAAAUACUUAGGAAUAAUUUUAACAAAAGAAAUGCAAGACAUGUACACAUCAAACUACAAAACACUAUUAAAAUAAAUUAAAAAUAAUAUAAAUCAAUGGAAAUAUUUCCUGGGAUCAUGAACUGAUUAAAUAUUAUUAAAAUAGUAAUCCUCUCCAAAAUGAUCAAUAGAUUCAAUACAAUGUAAAUCCAAAUUCAGUGUUUUUUUUAUGGUAAUUGACAUGUUGCUUCUAAAAUUUAUACAUAAUGCAAAGAUAUAAGAAUAUCGAAAGUAACCUUAAAAUACUGGAGGGAUCACAUUCCUGCAAAUUUCACAAUGUUUUUCCAAAACAAGAGUAAAUAGGACUAAGUAAUACCAUAUUAAACCUAGACAUACACAUCAAUUAAAAGCCCAGAAAUAAAGUCAUACAUGUUUUGAUAAGAAUGUCGAGGAAAUUAAAUAAAAAAUGAACAGUCUUUUCAAACAAUAAUGAUGGGAAAACAAUAUUCACCAGUAAAAAAAAAUGACAUCAGAUUCAUACUUCAGGCCACAUGUAAAAAUUAACUAAAAAUUGAUCAAACAACUAAAUGUAAGAGCUAAAAGUGUAUAUGUCUACUAAGCAACUAAGCAAACAUAGGUAUAAAUCUUUGUGACUACAGAUUAGAAAAUGAAUUUUUAGAUAAGACACUCAAAAAACAAGUAACCAAAGAUAAAUAGAUGAUUUGUUUUGUUGUUAUUGAUGUUGUUGUUGAUGUGUGUGUAUGUGUUUCUUUAAAAAGAUAUCAAGAAAGCAAAACACAAUGACACAACAGAAGGAAAUAUUGCAAAUCACGUAUCUGGAAAGAGUUUAGUAUAUUCCCUUUUUAUAGAUAGGAAGACUCGAUAUUGUCAAGAUGUCAGUUCUCUUCAAUUUAUUGUAUAAAUUCAAUGCAAUUUCCUUCAAAUCUCAGCAAGUGGGUUUGUGGCUAUCAACAAACUGAGUCUAAAGUUCAUAUUGAGAGGCAAAAGACCCAGGAUAGCUGAAACCAUAUUGAAGGAGAAGAACAAAGUUAAAAGACAAACACUAUCUGACUUUAAAUUUUACUAUAAACCUAUUGUAAUCAAGGAAGUGUGAUAUUGGCAAAGUAAUAGAUGAAUAAAUUAAUACAACAGAAUAGAGAGCACAGAAAUAGACCCACAUACAUAUAGUAAACUGAUCUUUGACAAAGGAGCAAAGGCAAUACAAUAGAAAAAAAGAUAGUCUUUGGAACAAAUCGUACUGACAAAUACUGGUAAUCCACAUGGAAGCAAAUGAAUCUAGACACAAACUUUUUAAUAACUUUCCUAAAAAUUAACUCAAUGUGUAUUACAGAUUUAAAUGUGAAACGAAACCCUAUAAAACUUAUAGAAGGUAUUAUAGGAGAAAAUUUAGAUGUUGAGUUUCGUUAUGACUUUUUAUGUACAACAUCAAAGACAUGAUCUAUGAAAGAAAGGAUUGAUGAGCUGCCCAAUGAGUUUGAG